rnacentral:rRNA from 2 species
GGGUUGUGAGGUUAAGCGACUAAGCGUACACGGUGGAUGCCUAGGCAGUCAGAGGCGAUGAAGGGCGUGCUAAUCUGCGAAAAGCGUCGGUAAGGUGAUAUGAACCGUUAUAACCGACGAUACCCGAAUGGGGAAACCCAGUGCAAUUCGUUGCACUAUUGCAUGGUGAAUACAUAGCCAUGCAAGGCGAACCGGGGGAACUGAAACAUCUAAGUACCCCGAGGAAAAGAAAUCAACCGAGAUUCCCCUAGUAGCGGCGAGCGAACGGGGAGGAGCCCAGAGUCUGAAUCAGUUUGUGUGUUAGUGGAAGCGUCUGGAAAGUCGCAGGGUACAGGGUGAUACUCCCGUACACAAAAACACACUUGCUGUGAACUCGAUGAGUAGGGCGGGACACGUGACAUCCUGUCUGAAUAUGGGGGGACCAUCCUCCAAGGCUAAAUACUCCUGACUGACCGAUAGUGAACCAGUACCGUGAGGGAAAGGCGAAAAGAACCCCGGCGAGGGGAGUGAAAUAGAACCUGAAACCGUGUACGUACAAGCAGUGGGAGCACCUUCGUGGUGUGACUGCGUACCUUUUGUAUAAUGGGUCAGCGACUUAUAUUUUGUAGCAAGGUUAACCGAAUAGGGGAGCCGUAGGGAAACCGAGUCUUAACUGGGCGUCUAGUUGCAAGGUAUAGACCCGAAACCCGGUGAUCUAGCCAUGGGCAGGUUGAAGGUUGGGUAACACUAACUGGAGGACCGAACCGACUAAUGUUGAAAAAUUAGCGGAUGACUUGUGGCUGGGGGUGAAAGGCCAAUCAAACCGGGAGAUAGCUGGUUCUCCCCGAAAGCUAUUUAGGUAGCGCCUCGUGAACUCAUCUUCGGGGGUAGAGCACUGUUUCGGCUAGGGGGCCAUCCCGGCUUACCAAACCGAUGCAAACUCCGAAUACCGAAGAAUGUUAUCACGGGAGACACACGGCGGGUGCUAACGUCCGUCGUGAAGAGGGAAACAACCCAGACCGCCAGCUAAGGUCCCAAAGUCAUGGUUAAGUGGGAAACGAUGUGGGAAGGCAUAGACAGCCAGGAUGUUGGCUUAGAAGCAGCCAUCAUUUAAAGAAAGCGUAAUAGCUCACUGGUCGAGUCGGCCUGCGCGGAAGAUGUAACGGGGCUAAACCAUGCACCGAAGCUGCGGCAGCGACACUUAGGUGUUGUUGGGUAGGGGAGCGUUCUGUAAGCCGUUGAAGGUGACCUGUGAGGGUUGCUGGAGGUAUCAGAAGUGCGAAUGCUGACAUAAGUAACGAUAAUGCGGGUGAAAAACCCGCACGCCGGAAGACCAAGGGUUCCUGUCCAACGUUAAUCGGGGCAGGGUGAGUCGACCCCUAAGGCGAGGCUGAAAAGCGUAGUCGAUGGGAAACAGGUUAAUAUUCCUGUACUUGGUGUUACUGCGAAGGGGGGACGGAGAAGGCUAGGCUAGCCGGGCGACGGUUGUCCCGGUUUAAGCAUGUAGGCGGAGCGACUUGGUAAAUCCGGUUGCUUAUCAACGCUGAGGUGUGAUGACGAGUCACUACGGUGAUGAAGUAGUUGAUGCCAAGCUUCCAGGAAAAGCCUCUAAGCAUCAGGUAACAUUAAAUCGUACCCCAAACCGACACAGGUGGUCAGGUAGAGAAUACUCAGGCGCUUGAGAGAACUCGGGUGAAGGAACUAGGCAAAAUGGUGCCGUAACUUCGGGAGAAGGCACGCUGGCAUUAGGUAAUGGGACUUGCUCCCGGCGCCGAAGCCAGUCGCAGAUACCAGCUGGCUGCAACUGUUUAAUAAAAACACAGCACUGUGCAAACACGAAAGUGGACGUAUACGGUGUGACGCCUGCCCGGUGCUGGAAGGUUAAUUGAUGGGGUCAGCCGCAAGGCGAAGCUCUUGAUCGAAGCCCCAGUAAACGGCGGCCGUAACUAUAACGGUCCUAAGGUAGCGAAAUUCCUUGUCGGGUAAGUUCCGACCUGCACGAAUGGCGUAAUGAUGGCCAGGCUGUCUCCACCCGAGACUCAGUGAAAUUGAACUCGCUGUGAAGAUGCAGUGUACCCGCGGCAAGACGGAAAGACCCCGUGAACCUUUACUAUAGCUUGACACUGAACAUUGAGCCUUGAUGUGUAGGAUAGGUGGGAGGCAUUGAAGUGUGGACGCCAGUCUGCAUGGAGCCAACCUUGAAAUACCACCCUUUAAUGUUUGAUGUUCUAACUCGGCCCCGUAAUCCGGGGUGAGGACAGUGUCUGGUGGGUAGUUUGACUGGGGCGGUCUCCUCCCAAAGAGUAACGGAGGAGCACGAAGGUUAGCUAAUCACGGUCGGACAUCGUGAGGUUAGUGCAAAGGCAUAAGCUAGCUUGACUGCGAGAGUGACGGCUCGAGCAGGUACGAAAGUAGGUCUUAGUGAUCCGGUGGUUCUGAAUGGAAGGGCCAUCGCUCAACGGAUAAAAGGUACUCCGGGGAUAACAGGCUGAUACCGCCCAAGAGUUCAUAUCGACGGCGGUGUUUGGCACCUCGAUGUCGGCUCAUCACAUCCUGGGGCUGAAGUAGGUCCCAAGGGUAUGGCUGUUCGCCAUUUAAAGUGGUACGCGAGCUGGGUUUAGAACGUCGUGAGACAGUUCGGUCCCUAUCUGCCGUGGGCGUUGGAAGAUUGAGAGGGGCUGCUCCUAGUACGAGAGGACCGGAGUGGACGAAUCACUGGUGUUCGGGUUGUCAUGCCAAUGGCAUUGCCCGGUAGCUAAAUUCGGAAGAGAUAACCGCUGAAAGCAUCUAAGCGGGAAACUUGCCUCGAGAUGAGUCUUCCCUGGGGCUUUAAGCCCCCUGAAGGAACGUUAAAGACUAUGACGUUGAUAGGCUGGGUGUGUAAGUGCAGCGAUGCAUUGAGCUAACCAGUACUAAUGAUCCGUGAGGCUUAACCUUACAACACCGAAGGUGUUU